UGCCCCACACCCCCCCCCACUCCUACUCUGCUUGUUCUUUCUCAAAUAAACUUAAAAAAAGUACCAAGAAAAUGUUUUUAAAAAAAGAAGGGAGACUAUUGCAGCACUCAGGUGACAAGUGCAGGUGGCUUGGACCGGCAUGUCUGCAGUUGGAAUCUUCUUAAGUGGUCGCAUUGUGUACUUACCUUAAAGGUAAAACUUCAAGGAUUCACCGAUAGAUUGGAUAUAUAAUAUGAGAAAGUGAGGCGUCAGAAUUGAUUCCUAGCUUUUUUUGUCUCGGGUUGACAAGGGGAAAACUAGGUGGCAGAGAUUUUCUGGUGAAGAUGAGGAACUUAGUUUUGGACAGAUGAGUUUGAGACACCUGGCAGUUAAUUCAAUGGAGAUGUUGGGUAGGCAGUUGGGUAUUCUAGUCUGGAGUUCAAGGGAGAGUCUCUGGCUGAAGAUGGAAAUAUGGGAGUCUGUGUAUAGAUGGUAUGUGAAGCCACGGGACUGGAUGAAAUUACCAAGAGAGUGAGUUACAUGGGGAGAAGAAGUCCAAAGGCUAAGUCUUGGAGCACUCCAGAUGCCAAGAGUUCAGGGCAAUGUGGAGGACCCAUCAGAGUAGACAGUGGCUACUCAGGGGAAAUCAGCAGACUGUGAUAUCCUGGAAGCCAUGUGAAGUUUGAAGGAAGCAGUGGUCAGCUGUCACAUACUGCAAAUAGGUCAAGUAACAGGAGCUCUGAGCAUUGAAUUAGCGAUCUACGUAGUCAUUGGUGACUUUGACAAGUGGUGUUUCACUGGAAGGGAGGGGGAAAUCUGGAGUGUGUUUGAGAAGACAUGGGGUAGCCUCACAACAAGAAAAAAUGCUGAGCACACUGAAAAUCAGCUUCUCUUUGACCCAUCAAAGAAUAGAGGUCACAGAGCAAGCCACCACAAAAACUAGAGAAAAAAUAUGCAGAAAAUACAGAUCACUUCACCUAAAGGAGAAGCUAGAGCCAGUAAUCAGGGUUGAAGUGAAUUGCUGGGGGCUGAGUGUGGGCUAGCUUGAGAGUUUAAAACUCCUGGGAGUUACUCUAAGGGGUUGCCCACACUUUGGUGGGUUUUACCUCCAGGAGCUUCCCCAGGUUCUCAUUGUGAAGAUGGCAGAAAAUUCUCCUCUUGUAAGGGGGCUGGGGGGUAGUAGCCAUUUCAAAAUACACCCAGAGCUUUCUGUUAACUUGGCAGAAGACUGCCCUCAGGGAAAACUACCUGUCUUCUCUGACCUUGGGGAAGGGCUGUUGGAUAGCGUAAGCCCCUUCCUUCCUUUCUCACAUAAGGAAAAAAAAAAAAAAGGCUAAGAAACUUCUAAAGUUCUCAGCCCAGGACUCUGGCUCAUAAAAAAGACAAAAUAGAUUUACUCAUAAGAUACAGAAGAAUUCUCCCUAGUCCCAUACCAUCAGUAGGACUCCAGUAUUACUAUAGUGGAUUACAGCUUUUGAAGAAGCUGCAACACACCGACUCUAUUUCAAGAAGGAAUUUCUAGGGAAAACCAGAAAGGGAAGACUGAAAACAUGGACACUGAAGGAAAUCAAAACCUCUGACACCUGCAGCAGGCAUCGAACACAGCCUAGCUGUAAGCCAGAUAAACAUAACACCUCACACUAAAGGCCUAUUCACCUCAGUUCCUAUUACCCAAUAUAUAUCAUGUCAAACUUCCAAUAAAAAAUAUACAAGGAUGCUCAGAAGCAGGAAAAAAAAUCUGAUGAGACCAAACAGACACCAGAACCAGACUGAUACGGCAGAGAUUCUAGAGUUAUCAGACUGGGAAUUUAAAGUAACUAUGGUUAAUAUACUGAGGUCUCUGAUGGAAAAAGUGGACAACAUACAAGAACAGGAGUGACCCAGGAAAGCAGGACAGUUUGAUGCUGCAGGUGAGCGAGAAUCUUGCUGGAACGAUGCCCUCAAGGAGGCAAGAGAAGGAUCUAGUGCACAAGUGGAGGGACUGGACAAGCAGCGAAUAACAGGAAGAAGGGAAACCAUGAGAGCAGGGCUGGCAGGUGGGUGCCCGUGAUGGUGGAGCUUAUGGACGUUGUCUUGAUUACUUUGAUUUUCAAGGUCACAGCUGAGAGGCUAGAGGAAGAGUGGUUGGAGGCUUGAGGCCUUAUAAAUUAGAGGAGACCGAACAGACUAGGGGAAUAUCGUGUGGUUGCCAGCUGGUGUUAAGGCUCCCUUGAAGCCUGAAUUAUUAUGUUCUGUUUUAUUUAUCAUUCUUGAAUAAUUCUGUAUUUUGUUAAAAUGUAUUUUAUUGGAAACGUAUGCAUGUUUCACUAGCAUCUCCUCACAGUAAGGAUUUGGGUUCUCGUGAAUGAGGAAUCAAGUUUACAAAGUUAGAUCUCCUUAGUAGGCCAAUUGGCUAAUCUAUUAUCAUAUAAUAUGCUCUUAUUUCCCCCGGGUUGUCGUUAUGGUCCUUACUCUUGGGAGGUACUAUCAGGCUUAUAGUUCAACCGAAAACAGACACCUUCUAGAUAUCAAAGCACUGAUAGAGAUGGGUUAGAACAGUAUUUGGCCUGCCUUCAGGAAGCUUACAUUUUACUGGGAAACAAAAUACACAUCAGGCACUGAAAGAGCACGAAAAGGGGGAAUAGGGAGUGUGGAUUGCUAUUUUAUAUUGGAGGAUAAGGGAUGAUCUCCGAUAAAUGACAUUUGAGCAGAGACCUGAAGGAAGUAAGGAAGUAAGCCAUAGAUGUAUCAGGGAAAUAGUGGGCCUGGCUUUUGUAUCCAUCUCUACUUUAUAAACAGAUUUAAUACAAGACGUGAUACCCAUUUAUGUCAACAGGCUGCCACUUUUUACUAAAUGCAAUAAAACCUUGAACGCAUUCAAUCCUUUCUUCCUGAAAUGCAGUACCAUUUAUACUUAAUACUACCUUUUUUCUCUUUGAGUAUCAGACUUAGGGUUUUACAGAUUGAACUUGUUUUACCUAGCUGUAUUUAAUACUUACUGAUUAGAUUGUCACAACCUGGCCAUUCAGAGCUCCAUUAAACUGGCUGCCUUGUCUUUUCAUUACUGCCUCAAACCUUUUUGAAAGCACCCUUACUUUUGGCAACAAGAUAUUCCAGGCCUGCUGUGAUCCCCGCCCCCAAACGUAAUUAGCUCUUUUCCAAGGAGGCCUCUGGCCCAAGAGCAUACAUCCCACUUGACCUGCAGAAGAACUGGUUGUAGCAGGAUGACACUGCUCUUGGGCCACCAGGGAAACAUGGGCCUCAGAAAGGGAUCUUUUUAAGGUCCCGAGUUCAUUCAGGCAUCUCCAGUUUAGUUGUCGUGACUAAAUUCUUUUUUUCACUCUAAUAGAAUUUUUUCUUAACAUACCCACUUAAAAUGUAAUCCCUUCUUUAUCAGAUCAACAAAAUGUGGUAUAUCCAUACGGUGGAAUACUGUUUUGCAAUAAAAAGGGAAUACUGAUACAUGUUGAAUGGAUUAACCUCAAAAACAUUAUGCUUCACAAAAGAAACCAGACCCACAAGAUGCCAUGCUGUAGGAUUCCACUGUUAGGAGAUAUCUAGAAAAGGUAGAUUGUGGAGAUGAAGCAGAUCAGUGGUCACAUGGGCUGGGGUAAGAACAGGGAGCUUUCGGGGAUGACAGAAAUGGAUGUGGCAGGGAAUUGCACAACUUGGUAGACUUAAUAAAAAAUCAUUGAAUUUAAAAUAGAUGACUUUUACAGGCACGUAAAUUUUAUCUCAAUACAAGUGAUAAAAAUUUAAACCCUUCUGCCAACUUCCACUUGUACCUCAACUGGUUAUAUUGACCCAAGAUGUUCCAUUAUGUUUACUUUUGUAACUAAAAAAAACCAUCCAAACCUA